rnacentral:tRNA from 1 species
UCUAAUGUGGCAGAUUAAUGCAAUGAAUUUAAGCUUCAUCGAUAAAAAUUUUUUUUUCUUUAGAA